GUUAUAUGGUCAAGUGAAGAAGCGCAUACGGUGGAUGCCUUGGCAGUCAGAGGCGAUGAAAGACGUGGUAGCCUGCGAAAAGCUUCGGGGAGUCGGCAAACAGACUUUGAUCCGGAGAUGUCUGAAUGGGGGAACCCAGCCAUCAUAAGAUGGUUAUCACACACUGAAUACAUAGGUGUGUGAGGCGAACCAGGGGAACUGAAACAUCUAAGUACCCUGAGGAAAAGAAAUCAACCGAGAUUCCCUUAGUAGUGGCGAGCGAACGGGGACUAGCCCUUAAGCUUCUUUGAUUUUAGCGGAACGCUCUGGAAAGUGCGGCCAUAGUGGGUGAUAGCCCUGUACGCGAAAGGAUCUUAGAAGUGAAAUCGAGUAGGACGGAGCACGAGAAACUUUGUCUGAACAUGGGGGGACCAUCCUCCAAGGCUAAAUACUACUGACUGACCGAUAGUGAACCAGUACCGUGAGGGAAAGGCGAAAAGAACCCCGGAGAGGGGAGUGAAAUAGAACCUGAAACCGUAUGCGUACAAGCAGUGGGAGCCUACUUUGUUAGGUGACUGCGUACCUUUUGUAUAAUGGGUCAGCGACUUAUUUUCAGUGGCGAGCUUAACCGAAUAGGGGAGGCGUAGCGAAAGCGAGUCUUAAUAGGGCGUCUAGUCGCUGGGAAUAGACCCGAAACCGGGCGAUCUAUCCAUGGGCAGGUUGAAGGUUAGGUAACACUGACUGGAGGACCGAACCGACUACCGUUGAAAAGUUAGCGGAUGACCUGUGGAUCGGAGUGAAAGGCUAAUCAAGCUCGGAGAUAGCUGGUUCUCCUCGAAAGCUAUUUAGGUAGCGCCUCGUGUAUCACUGCUGGGGGUAGAGCACUGUUUCGGCUAGGGGGUCAUCCCGACUUACCAAACCGAUGCAAACUCCGAAUACCAGCAAGUGUCAGCACGGGAGACACACGGCGGGUGCUAACGUCCGUCGUGAAAAGGGAAACAACCCAGACCGUCAGCUAAGGUCCCAAAGUCAUGGUUAAGUGGGAAACGAUGUGGGAAGGCUUAGACAGCUAGGAGGUUGGCUUAGAAGCAGCCAUCCUUUAAAGAAAGCGUAAUAGCUCACUAGUCGAGUCGGCCUGCGCGGAAGAUGUAACGGGGCUCAAACCAUGCACCGAAGCUACGGGUUCAACGCAAGUUGAGCGGUAGAGGAGCGUUCUGUAAGCCUGUGAAGGUGAGUUGAGAAGCUCGCUGGAGGUAUCAGAAGUGCGAAUGCUGACAUGAGUAACGACAAUGCGAGUGAAAAACUCGCACGCCGAAAGACCAAGGGUUCCUGCGCAACGUUAAUCGACGCAGGGUGAGUCGGUCCCUAAGGCGAGGCUGAAGAGCGUAGUCGAUGGGAAACGGGUUAAUAUUCCCGUACUUCUAGUUACUGCGAUGGGGGGACGGAGAAGGCUAGGCCAGCAAGGCGUUGGUUGUCCUUGUUUAAGGUGGUAGGCAGAGAUCUUAGGUAAAUCCGGGAUCUUAAUGCCGAGAGCUGAUGACGAGCUUUCUUUUAGAAAGCGAAGUGGUUGAUGCCAUGCUUCCAGGAAAAGCCUCUAAGCUUCAGGUAACUAGGAACCGUACCCCAAACCGACACAGGUGGUUGGGUAGAGAAUACCAAGGCGCUUGAGAGAACUCGGGUGAAGGAACUAGGCAAAAUGGCACCGUAACUUCGGGAGAAGGUGCGCCGGUGAGGGUGAAGUAUUUACUACGUAAGCCCAUGCCGGUCGAAGAUACCAGGCCGCUGCGACUGUUUAUUAAAAACACAGCACUCUGCAAACACGAAAGUGGACGUAUAGGGUGUGACGCCUGCCCGGUGCCGGAAGGUUAAUUGAUGGGGUUAGCGCAAGCGAAGCUCUUGAUCGAAGCCCCGGUAAACGGCGGCCGUAACUAUAACGGUCCUAAGGUAGCGAAAUUCCUUGUCGGGUAAGUUCCGACCUGCACGAAUGGCGUAACGAUGGCGGCGCUGUCUCCACCCGAGACUCAGUGAAAUUGAAAUCGCUGUGAAGAUGCAGUGUAUCCGCGGCUAGACGGAAAGACCCCGUGAACCUUUACU
rnacentral:rRNA from 2 species